rnacentral:tRNA from 1 species
GCUGGUGUAGCUCAGUGGUUAGAGCAUUGGCCUGAGAACUGAAAUGUUGCAGGUUCAAUUCCCAGUCAAGAGCA